CAGAGGGGCGUUCCCUGUGUCAGCCAAGAAGCCUUGAAAACCGAACAGAAUCAAUCUGAGCGGCUUCCCAAAGGUGUGCUCUUGAAAACAGCAAUAACAAAAAAGUUUGGCUGCAAAGAGGUUUGCUUUUUUGUUGUUGUUGUUCUGUUUUUGUGUUUGGGUCUUGCUGUGUUCACGCUCGAUCGUACCCCCCGCCGGCCCCCCGCGCCCCGCGCCCCGCGAGCCCAGGUGCUGAGACACACGCCAAGCGGCCGUGCGCCAGCCAGGCUCACCGCGAGCCUGUGCCAGUGUCCUGGGGCGACCGUCAGAGCGGCGGCCGGAGAAGAGGCACCGCUGGGGAGGGAACGAGGGCAGGACUCGCCGGCCGCACCGCGGCGGGACAGCGGGGCUCGCGAGCCCGCGUGCAGGCGGAGGGAAGGGGGGUCGGGGCGGACUUCGCGGAGCUGGCUUUGUCGGCGACGCGGGGAGGAGGGGGGGGGCAGGGGGCGGCAGGGGCGCGUCUGUCCGCGGACGGAAGCGGGAACGCAGGAGGGAGACACGCGGGGACGGUGCGGGGCAGGCAAGACCCGGUCGGGGCCGCGGGGAGGGCAGGGCCGCCGCCGCCGCCGCCGCCUCCGCCUCCGCCGGGCGAGAGCCCGGGCGCCGCGAGCGAGGCGGGACGUUGGGGCGCCCUCGGGGACCCGCGGCAGAGGGGGCUCAGCCCGCCCGCGGCCGAGUUGGCACCCAGCGGCCCCCCCGCCCCGCCCCGCCCCGGGGACCGGGCAUCCCGGCAGGUGGCUCGCGGCACCUCCUCCGGCGAGCGCCGCUCACCCCGCGCCCCCCCGGCCACUCACCGGUCCCGGGAGGGAAGCGCCAUCCGGGCGCGCGCCAGGGCUGCGCAGCGCAGGCGGCGGGCAGGGCCGGGCCGGGCCGGGCGGCGGCGGCGGCGCUGUCCUAGGCGCGGGACUGGGGCCCGGGGACGCCGAGGCGGCGGCAGCGGCGGCGGCGGGGACGCGGGGAGCCGCGGGCGGGGACGGCGGUGGAUCCGGAGCUGCUGCGCCGCGCGCGCUCUCUGCCCAUCUCCGGCUCCGCGGGAGGGAGGGGGGAGGGGAGGGGAGGGAGGAGGCACGCGGCCGGGAGGGAGGGAGGGACGGGGGGAGGGGGAGCGAGGGGAGCAGGGGAGAUGCUCGCCCCGAGCAGAGACGAGCGGGGAGGGAGGCGCGCACGAGCUCGGCGGAGGUGCCCACCUGCUCCGGGAGGGGAAAUGCGAGAGGAGACGGGGACGCGGGUCACUCCCUCCGCCGCCCCCGCCGCCGCCCCCACCCCCACCCCACCCCCUCCUCCUCCCUCCUUCCCCCUUCGCGCCCUUUCCCGGUGUAG
rnacentral:lncRNA from 1 species